CACACGGUCUGCGUGUGGCGUGUGGUGAGCGCGGUUCGGUUGGUAGGUUGGCAGGCGAGCUGGCUGGUCGUUGUCGCCGCAACUGCUGGCUGGCUGGCUGGCUGGCUGACUGGCUAGGCGGUGGGUUGGCGGGACGGCUGGGUGGUUUGCUUGCUGGCUGGGCUGGCUGGUGCGAUGCUGCACUACUACUGCUUGCGUGCAGUGAGCGUGUGUUGGCAGGGAUUGUGUUGCCGUGGCCAUGAAGAAGCACUGUCGUGUCAAGCUGGCAAGGCGAUGGUGUCACCUUUGAGCCAUGUCUGUGGUGUAACAGCUACAGGUGUGGACGGGUGUUGGGCAGCGCUCUGCACACGUUGUGGAGUCUGUCGGCUCGUCUGCAUGCCUUUGGAUGCCCUUAAAAGGUGUCUGCGGGCGGAUGGCACGUUUACUUUGAACAAAUUUGAGUGCUCAAAUCAGGCCGAUGUUGCCUGAAAAGUUUUGCAUGGAAUAAUGGAAUAGGACUUCGGUUCUAUUUCGUUGGUUUUCGGAUCCGAAGUAAUGAUCAAAAGAGACAGGCGGGGACGUUUGUAUGGCUGCGCUAGAGGUGAAAUUCAUGGACCGUAGCCAGACAGACUAAAGCGAAAGCAUUCGUCAAGCAUGUUUUCAUUGGCCAUGAGCGAAAGUCAGAGGCUCGAAGACGAUCAGAUACCGUCCUAGUUCUGACCAUAAACGAUGCCAACUGACGAUCCGUGGUGGUAGUAGUGUUACCUUCCCCACGGGCAGUCCCCGGGAAACCUUUAAGUGUUUGGGUUCCGGGGAAGUAUGGUUGCAAAGCUGAAACUUAAAGGAAUUGACGGAAGGGCACCACCAGGAGUGGAGCCUGCGGCUUAAUUUGACUCAACACGGGAAAACUCACCCGGGCCGGACACUGUGAGGAUUGACAGAUUGAGAGCUCUUUCUUGAUUUGGUGGUUGGUGGUGCAUGGCCGUUCUUAGUUGGUGGAGCGAUUUGUCUGGUUAAUUCCGAUAACGAACGAGACUCCAACCUGCUAAUUAGUGCGUUUGUCCACUGCGCCUGCGUAGGUGACGCUGGAUGACACCACCUGUCACGAGGACGUGGCAGCGGCUCUUCUCUCCCCUUCUCCGCUCGAAUGCCCUCCAGCGCCUCCUCCUCCUCCUCCUCCUCUCCUCCCCCUUCUUCAGCGCCUCAUCUGGCCGGCUGGCUGGCUGGCCGGGUGAGGCGGUGGUGGCGGUGGCGGUGGUGAGGGCGAUGGGGUGGGGAUGGUGCGGGUGGGCGAGUGGAUUGUGGUGGAGGCGUGGGGUUGGGUGCGGCGCUCGUGGCCGGUUAGUCUGGCGUUGGCCUCCGGGUGGUCGCGAAUGCCUACUUCUUAGAGGGACAAGCGGGAGAAGCCGCACGAAAUAGAGCAAUAACAGGUCUGUGAUGCCCUUAGAUGUCCGGGGCCGCACGCGCGCUACAAUGACGGUGUCAGCGAGUCAGGCCUUCUGGCCCGAAAGGGUUGGGCAAACUGGUCAAUCACCGUCGUGACAGGGAUCGGGGCUUGGAAUUGUUCCCCGUGAACGAGGAAUUCCUAGUAAGUGCAAGUCAUAAGCUUGCGCUGAUUACGUCCCUGCCCUUUGUACACACCGCCCGUCGCUACUACCGAUUGAAUGGUUUAGUAAGGUCCUCGGAUUGGCGUCAUUGCGACGGUGGCCGAGAGGUCACAGCCCGAGGGGCGCUGAGAAGACGACCGAACUGAUCAUUUAGAGGAAGUAAAAGUCGUAACAAGGUUUCCGUAGGUGAACCUGCGGAAG
rnacentral:rRNA from 1 species